GUUUGGAUUUUUCACCGGGAAACGAGACUAUAUUGUAGGGACGCAACGAUAAACGGUAAAUAAUAACGACGGCGGAAAAGCUCCCGACGUUUGGCUGUCCCGAUGGAGGUCCAACAUGCAAUAAUCCGCUCGGGUCCGAGUCCCGGCCCGAGUGCUGGGACUUUGUAGGGGGAGGCGGCUUUCAUCUCAAUGCGAGUCAGGAGUUGAUUCAAACGUGGACUGAUGGAGGAAUUAACCCCCGGGACCCAGCUUUCAAUGGGCUCAGUGCUGCCGUCGGCGUACGACAUGGGAAAGUCUUCCGAGCGUGACAAAAGCCAAACCUCAAAGAGCGCCUGGUCACAUGACCGCAAGGAGUCUGCAAAUGUCCCGUGCGCUACACGGACCACCACG